UCCCCUAGUAACGGCGAGUGAAGCGGGAACAGCUCAAAUUUGAAAUCUGGCCCUUGGGUCCGAGUUGUAAUUUGCAGAGGAUGCUUUUGGUGCGGUGCCUUCCGAGUUCCCUGGAACGGGACGCCUUAGAGGGUGAGAGCCCCGUACGGUUGGCCACCAAGCCUGUGUAAAGCUCCUUCGACGAGUCGAGUAGUUUGGGAAUGCUGCUCAAAAUGGGAGGUAUAUUUCUUCUAAAGCUAAAUACUGGCCAGAGACCGAUAGCGCACAAGUAGAGUGAUCGAAAGAUGAAAAGCACUUUGAAAAGAGGGUUAAAUAGCACGUGAAAUUGUUGAAAGGGAAGGAUUUAUGACCAGACUUUUUCUGGGGGGAUCAUCCGGUGUUCUCACCGGUGCACUUCCCCCAGUUGAGGCCAGCAUCGGUUUCUGCCGGGGGAUAAAAGCUUUGGGAAUGUGGCUCCUUCGGGAGUGUUAUAGCCCGUUGCAUAAUACCCUGGCGGGGACCGAGGUUCGCGCAUUGCAAGGAUGCUGGCGUAAUGGUUAUUAAUCAC
rnacentral:rRNA from 2 species